rnacentral:rRNA from 1 species
AGGUAAGCUACUAAGAGCGAAUGGUGGAUGCCUUGACUGGUAAAGGCGAUGAAGGACGUACUAGACUGCGAUAAGCUACGGGGAGCUGUCAAGAAGCUUUGAUCCGUAGAUUUCCGAAUGGGGCAACCCAAUGUAUAGAGAUAUACAUUACCUAUAUAGGAGCGAACGAGGGGAAUUGAAACAUCUUAGUACCCUCAGGAAAAGAAAUCAAUAGAGAUUGCGUCAGUAGCGGCGAGCGAAAGCGCAAGAGGGCAAACCCAGUGCUUGCACUGGGGGUUGUAGGACUGCAAUGUGCAAGAGGUGAGUUUAGCAGAACAUUCUGGAAAGUAUAACCAUAGAGGGUGAUAGUCCCGUAUGCGAAAAACAAACCUUAGCUAGCAGUAUCCUGAGUAGGGCGGGACACGAGGAAUCCUGUCUGAAUCCGGGUCGACCACGAUCCAACCCUAAAUACUAAUACCAGAUCGAUAGUGCACAAGUACCGUGAGGGAAAGGUGAAAAGAACUGAGGUGAUCAGAGUGAAAUAGAACCUGAAACCAUUUGCUUACAAUCAUUCAGAGCCCUAUGUAGCAAUACAGGGUGAUGGACUGCCUUUUGCAUAAUGAGCCUGCGAGUUGUGGUGUCUGGCAAGGUUAAGCAAACGCGAAGCCGUAGCGAAAGCGAGUCUGAAUAGGGCGCUUAGUCAGAUGCUGCAGACCCGAAACGAAGUGAUCUAUCCAUGAGCAAGUUGAAGCUAGUGUAAGAACUAGUGGAGGACUGAACCCAUAGGCGUUGAAAAGCCCCGGGAUGACUUGUGGAUAGGGGUGAAAGGCCAAUCAAACUUCGUGAUAGCUGGUUCUCUCCGAAAUAUAUUUAGGUAUAGCGUUGUGUCGUAAUAUAAGGGGGUAGAGCACUGAAUGGGCUAGGGCAUACACCAAUGUACCAAACCCUAUCAAACUCCGAAUACCUUAUAUGUAAUCACAGCAGUCAGGCGGCGAGUGAUAAAAUCCGUCGUCAAGAGGGAAACAACCCAGACUACCAGCUAAGGUCCCUAAAUCUUACUUAAGUGGAAAACGAUGUGAAGUUACUUAAACAACCAGGAGGUUGGCUUAGAAGCAGCCAUCCUUUAAAGAAAGCGUAAUAGCUCACUGGUCUAGUGAUUUUGCGCGGAAAAUAUAACGGGGCUAAAGUAAGUACCGAAGCUGUAGACUUAGUUUACUAAGUGGUAGGAGAGCGUUCUAUUUGCGUCGAAGGUAUACCGGUAAGGAGUGCUGGAGCGAAUAGAAGUGAGCAUGCAGGCAUGAGUAGCGAUAAUUAAUGUGAGAAUCAUUAACGCCGUAAACCCAAGGUUUCCUACGCGAUGCUCGUCAUCGUAGGGUUAGUCGGGUCCUAAGUCGAGUCCGAAAGGGGUAGACGAUGGCAAAUUGGUUAAUAUUCCAAUACCAACAUUAGUGUGCGAUGGAAGGACGCUUAGGGCUAAGGGGGCUAGCGGAUGGAAGUGCUAGUCUAAGGUCGUAGGAGGUUAUACAGGCAAAUCCGUAUAACAAUACUCCGAGAACUGAAAGGCUUUUUGAAGUCUUCGGAUGGAUAGAAGAACCCCUGAUGCCGUCGAGCCAAGAAAAGUUUCUAAGUUUAGCUAAUGUUGCCCGUACCGUAAACCGACACAGGUGGGUGGGAUGAGUAUUCUAAGGCGCGUGGAAGAACUCUCUUUAAGGAACUCUGCAAAAUAGCACCGUAUCUUCGGUAUAAGGUGUGGUUAGCUUUGUAUUAGGAUUUACUCCGAAAGCAAGGAAACUUACAACAAAGAGUCCCUCCCGACUGUUUACCAAAAACACAGCACUCUGCUAACUCGUAAGAGGAUGUAUAGGGUGUGACGCCUGCCCGGUGCUCGAAGGUUAAUUGAUGGGGUUAGCAUUAGCGAAGCUCUUGAUCGAAGCCCGAGUAAACGGCGGCCGUAACUAUAACGGUCCUAAGGUAGCGAAAUUCCUUGUCGGUUAAAUACCGACCUGCAUGAAUGGCGUAACGAGAUGGGAGCUGUCUCAAAGAGGGAUCCAGUGAAAUUGUAGUGGAGGUGAAAAUUCCUCCUACCCGCGGCAAGACGGAAAGACCCCGUGGACCUUUACUACAGCUUGACACUGCUACUUGGAUAAGAAUGUGCAGGAUAGGUGGGAGGCUUUGAGUAUAUGACGCCAGUUGUAUAUGAGCCAUUGUUGAGAUACCACUCUUUCUUAUUUGGGUAGCUAACCAGCUUGAGUUAUCCUCAAGUGGGACAAUGUCUGGUGGGUAGUUUGACUGGGGCGGUCGCCUCCCAAAUAAUAACGGAGGCUUACAAAGGUUGGCUCAGAACGGUUGGAAAUCGUUCGUAGAGUA